GCCAGAGGCGAUAGCACGUUGAACGCACCAGUUGCCAAUGGAUCAUUGAAGUUAAGCAACGUUACGCGUGGUUAAUAUCGGGAUGUGUGACUUUCUGGGCAGUUGCGUGCUGCUCCCU
rfam:Asian citrus Psyllid, Diaphorina citri - Florida Strain, whole genome shotgun sequence.